AUUGAACGCUGGCGGAAUGCUUUACACAUGCAAGUCGAACGGCAGCACGGACUUCGGUCUGGUGGCGAGUGGCGAACGGGUGAGUAAUACAUCGGAACGUGCCCAAUCGUGGGGGAUAACGUAGCGAAAGCUACGCUAAUACCGCAUACGAUCUAAGGAUGAAGCGGGGGAUCGCAAGACCUCGUGCGAUUGGAGCGGGCGAUGGCAGAUUAGGUAGUUGGUAGGGUAAAGGCCUACCAAGCCGAGGAUCUGUAGCUGGUCUGAGAGGAUGAUCAGCCACACUGGGACUGAGACACGGCCCAGACUCCUACGGGAGGCAGCAGUGGGGAAUUUUGGACAAUGGACGCAAGUCUGAUCCAGCCAUUCCGCGUGCAGGAUGAAGGCCCUCGGGUUGUAAACUGCUUUUGUACAGAACGAAAAGGCUCUGGUUAAUACCUAGGGCUCAUGACGGUACUGUAAGAAUAAGCACCGGCUAACUACGUGCCAGCAGCCGCUGUAA
rnacentral:rRNA from 1 species